UAAUGUCAAACUGACAAAGGGCCUCUGAACCAUGUUUUCCUGAAAAUAUAUUAGCAUGUACUCAUAGCUUCACUGUACUGUGCAAAGUUACCCUGCAGAAGUUUUCUUUAAAACAUUAGAAAACUUCGAAAAAGUCAUGGCCAAGGCCAAGUCAAAAUUUUAACAUAUCUUAUAAAUAAAUGUUAUUGAGUGAUGGCAUUUUGGCAGGAUAUUUUGGAAUAAUUUAACUUGCCUCAUCAGGAGCUUCAAACUGCAUACACUACUUCCUCAGAAAGUUGUAGGUACCUCGGUCUGCACUGCGCUCAAGCAUUACACGUGCACAAACAUGUUUAAGGGCCCUUUAGCAGUGUGACAAUAUAUUAAGUAUUAAAUUCAAUACCAUCCUACAUAAAACAAAAGCAAGAUUAAAGAUGUUAUCGCUUAUAGUCAGGUACAACAUAAGAAGGCAGGAAAGGCCCUGCCCGAAUGACCGAAGCCCGGCAGCCAAUUGCCUCUGCAACUAAAGAAAUAGUCCCACUGAUGUGACUCGGCCCAGUUUGAAGCAUGGGCUGCCAUGUCCGUCGGCGGCAUCACCGGCCAUCCGGCUCAUGACGUCAGUCUAGAGUGUGCGCCCAUUCAUGUUGGCUCGUGUGCAUCCGCCUCUGAGCGGCACAUGCCGCUGCCUUCUGAAGUUGUACCCGACUACACGUAUUUCUUACCUAACCUAGAAAAAAGAAGUUAUGCAUGAAAACAGAAAGGUAGAACCAAUAGACCUUUUUCAGGCAAUCCCACAGUGCUCUGCAGGCGCACAGUGCACUAUGGGGAAAGAGUGUAUGCCCAGCAAGCAGGCUCGCCUGGGCACCCGUGCGCCGAAUUGACGCCGUAAAAAAAAAGAAACUGAAAGAAAAAACAAGGUGCCGCUUCUUUCUUGACGCUUAUAAUGACAUAAGUAAACUGCCCACAAGCAUCUACAUUUGUAUCUCUAUGCAAGAAAUGGGAAAGAAAUAACACCGUCUAUGCGGUUAUCACCGAGCUGCCGCCCUAUAUGGAGAGCUAAGUUUCGCCAUAAACAUCCAUCGUUCAAAAAUUUUUUUUUAAAAUGCUGCAUUGUCGGACAGUGCGUAAACAAAGAGAGCAUGGCUUCCUAAAACAAUACGUGUUUGUGCCUCUUCUACUGCCACAGUGGUCUGACAAGAGAAGCGAAUAUAUGUUAAAAGGCUUUAGAAACAGCAAGGGCACUCGCUGGUUGGUUGCUCGUAGGUUGGGUGCUAUAGUAUUAUUAUUUCUAAAAUAAACUAAAAGAGGAAGAAAAAAAAUUCGUUUUACACUCCUUGUCUCUUUCACGAGAAAAUAUUGGGCUACGAUUAAAUAUGUAAUGUUCGUGUGCCGCGAUCCACCAGAAUUAGGAAAUAUAAGUUGCAAUACCGGUUUCAUAUGAGCGCAUUGGUCAAAAGUAAAAUAGGUUACUGCUUCACAAUGACAAUCUCUUUGAAAGUCAUUCUAAUCAGCUGCACUACAUAAAAACUUAGUCAGGCCUUCUCCUUAUGUUUUUGGGCACAUCCUAUAUACAGCAUAGUUCAGACAUUAAACCACCAAUCGCAACUUGUCGAUAUGCUUUGUCAGAACACAUGUGCAUCAUUGUAGAGCAUGUAAAAAAAAAUUUACAUUAUCACUUGCAGGCGUGGCACUAGGCAUUUAUGAAAUGGUGUGCUUUACAUUACAGCACCACAAACAGAACGAGAUAAAAUGAAAAGCGUAAAAAAAAUAGUGCAAGGAACUGUGAAGCGAACUCCUCUCCCUCUACCUCACAUUGAAAAAUGUUCACAUAUAAAGAACUGAACAUUAGACAAGGUGGACCUAGACCAAGUCUACCUGACAGUUGCCCCUGCAACUGUGGUACUGAGUUUAGUAGCCAAUCUGCUCUUUGUUUAUUAUACCUAAUUUUCAAUUUUGGCCAUCACCCAGGAUUAUUCGGAGUCGAAGGGUGUGUGCACUAAAUAGAUAAAUGGGGUCCCAGUGCAGCUGUAAAGAAGAAAAAAAAAAAAAGGCAGUGGUGCGUGAACGCUAGAUGGUUGGCAUUGCAAAGAGGCGAGGCCGUAGCAGCUGAACUAUAAAUAAGACAUUUUUGUUUGAAUUAGGCAGUAACAUGUGCCACCUUGCCAAAUUUGCUUCAGAUAUUACUGCUGAUAGGUGCUUGUAUGGCGCAGGAGGAAAGCGAAAGCAUGAUGCCCGCCUCCGCAGCGUACACAGAUUUCCCAUAAGCGCUUGCGCAGCCAUUGGUGGCGCUUGCUUGGCAGAAAAAGGUCUAUUUUCAUACAAAUGGUUCAUUUGCACUGCACUCUGAAAGGUUAUGUUUCUGUUUCAAGGUUUAAAAGAGCAAUACAUGUAACAGUAAUAGAUAUGACUUCGAUAGACCUUCUGCAUAAUGUCGACAACCCUCUGUACACAUUGGGUUCCAGCCAUAAUCAUGAAGGAUAGACAUGCGGGCAACAGCAGGAGCCAUGUAGAAUGUUAAUGGGGGCAGCACGCGCUCUGCUACAGGUCUCAUUAAGUUUGCUGCUGUGUUCUGGCAUGCACAUAGUGUGUUUGCCACAUAACACGAUCCUGAGUAUGUAAGCUUGAUUUCCCGCAAAGGGGUAAGCGGAAUGUCUUGGCAUGCUCCCACACUUGCACCAUGAUGGUUGCGUCGACAAAGGCUGUGAUCAGGAGACUGACUGCAGGAGCUACACAUUUUUGUAGUCUUACACCAUUCCGGAUUACAUCAGAGUAAGAGGGAAAAGAAGGGGGGGCGGGUUGCAAACCAAGAAGCGCGGCAUGCUGCGAUAUGUCAUGUAUUUGUGUAGCAGUUCCGUGCAGUCAUCUAGUAUGGAUGAGGUGUAGCCUUGCUAACGCUGGAGUAUUUGGCCAUACGAUCCUGUCAGCUUAUCACAAGUCACUGUGUUCCAGCAUCUCAUCCUUGACUCGAGAAACAUGGUUGCUGUCACCUACAUAGCUUUAGGCAAGUGACACUGUUCAUUACAUCAGUACUGUAGGCUCAUGAUUGCAAAAAACGAAUAACUGGCCUCGUGUGACUGUGUGAAAAUUAGUGUGAAAACGGGCAAAGGAUCGGCACAACCAUGCACAGCCGAGUUUGAGGUGAAGUCGGUGCAUUGAAUACCAUAUUGAAUUCUGCACACUUGUGUACGUUACCUUAUGGCCGGACCUGUACACAGUGGUUGCAUAGCACGAAGCUGUACAUCAGCAUGUGGAAUUUCAGUGAAGCGUUGCUGGAGAAACAACGCAGAACAUACAAGAAUGUGGUGUGGUAAGCAACUGGCUACUAUAGAGUCGGCCCGUACCCAUCUUCAAAAUGGUGGCCGAAAACCAGCAUCGCCUGACUGCAACACAGAGUUGUCGGCCUUACGCAAGUCCCCUAUACUCAAUGUGCACUUUCUGACAGCGGGUAGUUGUGCAGCAACACUUCCUUAAAAAUGAUGUAUACAAACCACUACCUACAAUUUGUACAACAGCCAUAACACGAUAAUGAACUUGGAAUAUUACUAAAGUGAACUUUGUGAAAUGCUAGAAGUGCCUACAUGUUCCUCGUGUGCAAGUUGCUUCCUGAUGUGUAUGCCACAAAUCGGCGAAAUCGCAACACUAGUCAAACAACUUACACACAAAAGGUUCAUGCACAAACUAAAAUCAUGACUCAUGUUAAAUGCUAGCUGGUUUACUGUAGUCACAUGCUACCACCCAUACAAUUCUUGACUCACAUUGUCUACAAAUUACAUUUGCAGUGUCAAAAUGCAGAGUACCUCUUGCAAAAGUUUUACGUUAGCAUUUUGUGUAGAAUAUACAAGGAUAACAGAAGCUUAAAAACCUUUAUGUGGCUCAAUAUUACAUUUACAUCAAGCACAAGUGAAUAUGAUACCCACUCUCCACAAAGCUUCAGCUCCACAAAGUUCAAGUGAUGGCCCAACAUGUCAAAUUAACUCUUUUUUUUUUUUUUAAAGAACACGGUUAAACAAUGUGCUUUGCCAGUUUAAAAGUAUGACUGAUGCCAUUAAUACAGGCAAUAAUUGUGGAGCUUCAUCCUCAAUUCACAGAAAUCUCCAGAGAACACACACACAAGAGCUAAAAGCAUCAAUAAAAUGCUACAAUGCAGUAUGGACCUUGUUGUGCUUAAACUAUUUUACUUACCACUCCGCUUUCAACACGCAGCUAAACUGAUUUCUAUGCUCUUUGGCAGCCAAUGUCAACAUCCACAUAGCUUCGAGGCUCUUCUCAAUUUUGGUGUUGUUUAAACAUGAAAUAUUAAGUUUGGUUAGAUUAAUUAGACUGGUAGAUAAGACUUCUGGUAUUGCAAUUAGGACUGUGUUACCAUAAGUGGAAGCUUGGUCAGUCAGAGAUAA
rnacentral:lncRNA from 1 species